rnacentral:lncRNA from 12 species
AUGUCAGCUGCGCUGUUCCCUCCUCUCCCGGGACUACAGGCAGAGUCCGCUGUGCUGUCCCCUCCUCUCCCCGGACACCAGGCUGUGUUGGCCACACUGUCCCCUCGUCUCCCAUUACCCCAGGACCCAUGCUGUGUCGGCCAUGCUAUCUCCUCUUCUCCCAGGACCCCAGGCCAUGAUGGCUGCACUGUCCCCUCCUCUCCCUGGACACCAGGCUGUGUUGGCCACGCUGUCUCCUCAUCUCCCAACACCCUGGGGAGUGUCAGCUGUGCUCUCCCCUUCUCCCCCGGGACCCCCUGCAGUCUCGGCCACGCUGUACCAUCCUCUCCUGGGACCUUGGGCAGUGUGAGACAUGCUGUCCCAUCAUCUCCCAGGACACUGGGCACUGUCGGCUGUGCUGUCCCUCCUAUCCUGGGAUGCCAGGCAUUGUCGGCCGUGAUGGACCCUCCUCUCCUGGGACACCAACAGUGUCAGCCACACUGUCACCUCCACUUUGGGGACACUGGGCAGUGUCAGCUGUGCUGUCCCUCCUAUCCUGGGAUGCCAGGCAUUGUCGGCCGUGAUGGACCCUCCUCUCCUGGGACACCAACAGUGUCAGCCACACUGUCACCUCCACUUUGGGGACACUGGGCAGUGUCAGCUGUGCUGUCUCCUCCUCUCCUGGGACCUUGGGUAGUGUUGGCCCCAGCUGUCCCCUCCUCUCAGGACCCUGGGAACUGUCGGGUGCAUUGUACCCUCUUCUUUGCGGCAAUGGGGAAGUGUCAGCCACACUGUCUCCUACUCUCCUGGGACCCCUGGCAGUGUCAACCGCACUGUCCCCUCCUCUCCUGGGACUCAGGGCAGUGUCGGCCCACUCUCCCUCCUCUCCGUGGACACCAGUCAGUGUCGGAUGUGCUGUCCCCUCCUCUCCUGGGACACCAGACACUGUUGGCCGCACUCGCCUCCUCAAUUUGCAAACACGGGGAAUUGUUGUCCAUGCUGUCGCCUCCUAUCAUAGGACACUGGGUAAUGUCAGCUGCACAGUCACCUCCACCCCCUGUAUAUUGGACAGUGUCGGCCGCACUGUCCCUUCCUCUCCUGGGAUGCCCAGCAGUGUUGGCAAUGCUGUCUACUCCUCUCUUGGGACCCCAGGAAGUAUCCCCUGCGCUGUCCCCUCUUCUCCCAGGUUACCAGUCAGUGUCAUUCAUGCUGUCACCUCCUGUCAUGGGUAACUGA